CCACCCCAAAUUCUCUUUCCUCCCAACUUCCCAUUUCAGAAUGCCCUGUUGUUCAGAGGUGUUUGUUUGCUGGGGAUUACCAGAGUGGCUCUGACCCAGUUUCUGUUGAUUUCAAUGGCUGCCAGGCCUCCUGCUGAUACCAUUCCUGAUGCUGAUGACCAAUCCCUCACUCAGACAAGGGGGCUGGAAUCUCCAAGGACAAGUGUUUUUCCAACCAUGUCUCAUCAGACCUUUGAGUUUGUUCAUCUGCUUCUUGUCUCCACAACACCCCCUGAGAGAAGCGGCUGCUUUAGAGAUGUGCCAGAAAGUCUACUGUGCAGAUUCAAUGCAUAAAAGCCUGGGGCCAGAAGCAAAGUAUGAAUCAUUUUUCAGCAGGAGAGAAAGGAUUGGUGGCUUCAGGGAAUGUUGAAGUGAACACUGCCAAUUUCUUCUCCUAACUGGAACAACAUGGAAGACCUUAUAUGUUCAGCUAAUGCCUAAUUCAAAAGUGGAGAGACUGCAGAUAUUUUAGGAUGAGGAGUUCACAGCUUCCAUCUAUCAGUGAGAUCCAAAGGGGUUUUGAAGGCUCUUCUAAAAGAAAAUACAGUUUUCUAAUGCAAAGCAGCGCUCUGCUGUGUGUGAUACGCCACUGAAGUCAACAACAAGUGGGAUACUAUCAAACAAGUUGGUAUUUCACAAUCUGUUCCUAUUCUGAAAGAUAAAUCCUGCCCAGGGAAGUUACAUAGAAUUGCCUUUUAGCUCACCUAAGAACUGGAAAGAGACUAAAAUGAGAGAACUGACAACUGCAGAUGAAGAUGCAACAGAUGCAUUUACCACUGAAAAUAAAAAUACCAUCAUCUACUAAAGCCAUUAAGGUGAGGUUUGCUACAACUCAGCUUUGGCAACCACAGAGUAGCUGUGUGAACUAGCAAUGUCCAUGGUGUGCAGUGUUGCCAUGGGACAGUGUUGCUCUGAUUUCCUAGAAGAGCUGGAUCGUUCAUGUUGACCUUUGCAAGUUCACUGUCAUCACAUGCUCCUCUGCAGCUGAUUUCUGUUUGGCAGGGCUAUGAGACAGAAAAAGCCACCUCAGUGCCUCAAGAG